AAUGAACGCUGGCGGCGCGCCUAACACAUGCAAGUCGAGCGAGGCCGCGGGGCAACCCGCGAGUCGAGCGGCGAACGGGUGAGUAACACGUGGGUAACCUACCCUGGAGUGGGGGAUAGCUCCUCGAAAGAGGGGGUAAUACCGCAUACGGCCGCCGGGCCACAAGGCCUGGCGAGGAAAGGCUGGGACCCUUCGGGGACAGCCGCGCCUGGAUGGGCCCGCGCCCGAUUAGCUAGUUGGUGAGGUAACGGCUCACCAAGGCUGCGAUCGGUAGCCGGCCUGAGAGUGUGAUCGGCCACAUUGGGACUGAGACACGGCCCAUACUCCUACGGGAGGCAGCAGUGGGGAAUCUUGGGCAAUGGGCGAAAGCCUGACCCAGCGACGCCGCGUGGGGGAUGAAGGCCUUCGGGUUGUAAACCCCUGUCAGGGGGGGCGAAAGCCUUCCGGUGAAUAGCCGGGAGGUUUGACAGUACCCCCAAAGGAAGCCCCGGCUAACUCCGUGCCAGCCGCCGCCGUAA
rnacentral:rRNA from 1 species